rnacentral:rRNA from 1 species
UACGUAGGGUGCGAGCGUUAAUCGGAAUUACUGGGCGUAAAGCGUGCGCAGGCGGCUCUAUAAGACAGAUGUGAAAUCCCCGGGCUUAACUUGGGAACUGCAUUUGUGACUGUAUGGCUAGAGUGCGUCAGAGGGGGGUGGAAUUCCACGUGUAGCAGUGAAAUGCGUAGAGAUGUGGAGGAACACCGAUGGCGAAGGCAGCCCCCUGGGAUGACACUGACGCUCAUGCACGAAAGCGUGGGGAGCAAACAGG